rnacentral:lncRNA from 1 species
UCCUUAUAAUUUUCUAUUUUUUUUAUUUUAAUAUUUUAUAGUUUAAAAUAUAUACAGUAAUUUUAUUUUCUUUUUCAUCAAUUUUUUUAGCUAAAAUUUUGUUGAAUCAUAUACGAAAAAUUUCAGAUAUCUCAUAUAUAAUUUAUUGAACAUUCACUUUAGUAUUUUUUAAUUUUUAACUUUGUCAAUAAUUUAAUAAAAAAAUUAAUAAAAAAAUAAAUAAGAGCAUAUUGUAAGAAAAUGAUAUGCUUUAAACUAUAAGAUACUAAAGUGAGAAAGUGUGAAACUAUAUAUAUAGGUAGGGGUGGAAACGAGCCGAGCUCGAGCGAGCUUACGUCAGCUCAAAUUCGGCUUGAAAUUAAUUUCGAGCCUAAAUCUAGGCUCAAGCUCGGCUUGAAAUUAAUUCGAGCCGAGCUCGAGUAAGUCUAAUUUCGAGUUGAGCCGAGCUCGAGCUCUAAACGAGCCGAUUGAAAUUCUCGACAUUAUAUAAUCAAUAGUUUAAUUUUUGUAAAAUAUUAUCUAUAAUUUGAUGCAACAUGUCCAAUAGUUCAAAAUACAAAAUAAUUAUAAGAAAUGUGAGCUAGGAUGACUUCUUGACUAGAUGAGCGUCCGAGAGAGAGAGAGAGAGAGAGAGAGAGAGAGAGAAAAAAGUAGAGAUUUGGGAAUUUGAAUGUUAUCAUGUUUUAGGGUUAUGUGCAACAGUGAAAGUCUGAAAGAGAUAGUGUGUUAUGUAAAUUGUACUUGUUGGGUUUAUUUUAUGGGCCAACAAUAAUGGCCCAAAUUAAAUUAAAGCCUAUAUAUAAUUAAAAUACAUUAUAUAUAUAUAUAUAUAUAUAUAUAUAUAUAUGAGUCCGGCUGCUAUACUUUUAUGAGUAUUGGCUCCUUUAUACUCAUAAGUUUUCAACCCUUAGAUUUAUUCCAUUAAUCGUUUUCAUCCGUUAGAUCAUACUAUUUAACCAACUACCCCCUCAACCCUAGGGGACCACUGUCAUUCUAAGUGGGGACCACCAUCAUCCUAACCAUAUAUCCCAUCAAUCAACGGUUAAAAAUUUAUGAGUACAAGGGGGUCUAUACUCAUAAGAGUAUAGUAGCCCCAACCUAUAUAUAUAUUUUCGAGCUUUUCGAGCUUUUCGAGCCUAAUUCGAACGAGCCGAAUAAUACUCAAGCUCGGCUUGAAAUGAAUUUCGAGCCUUUUAUUUUGUUCAAGCUCGGCUCAUUUAAUUUCGAGUCGAGCUCGAGCGAGCCGAAUAUCGAGCCGAACACGAGUCGAACGCGAGCCGGCUCGCUCGUUUGCCAGCCCUAUAUAUAGGAUGGUAUCUGAAGUUUUUCUUUUAUUUUAUUAAAUUUAAGCCUAA